GAUCAUGGCUCAGAACGAACGCUGGCGGCGCGUCUUAAACAUGCAAGUCGAACGAUCUGUAGCAAUACAGGGAGUGGCGGACGGGUGAGGAACACGUAGGAAUCUACCUAGAAGAGCGGGACAACCUUGGGAAACCGGGGCUAAUACCGCAUAGUACAGUGAUGUUAAAGGGCUAGCAAUAGUCGCUUCUAGAUGAGCCUGCGGUCUAUCAGCUUGUUGGCGGGGUAACGGCCCACCAAGGCUACGACGGAUAGCCGGUCUGAGAGGAUGAUCGGCCACACUGGCACUGAGACACGGGCCAGACUCCUACGGGAGGCAGCAGUUAAGAAUCUUGCGCAAUGGACGAAAGUCUGACGCAGCGACGCCGCGUGAAGGAUGAAGGCUUUCGGGUUGUAAACUUCGGUAGACUGGGAAGAAAAAGUAAGUUCGUUGAGGGCUUACAUUGACGGUACCAGUCUGAAGCCCCGGCUAAUUACGUG
rnacentral:rRNA from 1 species